rnacentral:rRNA from 1 species
GAUGAACGCUGGCGGCGUGCCUAAUACAUGCAAGUCGAGCGAACGGACGAGAAGCUUGCUCCUUCGAUGUUAGCGGCGGACGGGUGAGUAACACGUAGGUAACCUACCUAUAAGACUGGGAUAACUUCGGGAAACCGGAGCUAAUACCGGAUAAUAUUUUGAACCGCAUGGUUCGAUAGUGAAAGACGGUCUUGCUGUCACUUAUAGAUGGAUCUGCGCUGCAUUAGCUAGUUGGUAAGGUAACGGCUUACCAAGGCAACGAUGCGUAGCCGACCUGAGAGGGUGAUCGGCCACACUGGAACUGAGACACGGUCCAGACUCCUACGGGAGGCAGCAGUAGGGAAUCUUCCGCAAUGGGCGAAAGCCUGACGGAGCAACGCCGCGUGAGUGAUGAAGGUCUUCGGAUCGUAAAACUCUGUUAUUAGGGAAGAACAAAUGUGUAAGUAACUGUGCACAUCUUGACGGUACCUAAUCAGAAAGCCACGGCUAACUACGUG